CUCGCGCAGGUGGCCCCGGUGUCGCUGCUCGUCGGGCCGCGCGGGGAAGGCGGCGGCCAGGAUCCGCUCCGUCACGUAGGAUGACCACUAUCCACAGCAGUCCAUUCAAGAUAACCUCCUGGGGGCCCUCUCUGUGGCCACCAGAUCUCUGGACACCGCCGCAGCCAGGUUCCUUGCCUCGGUCACCCCAUCCCAGAGCAUACUCACCAGCUCCGUGGGAGGCACGGCCUGACAGGACGAAGUCACCUGGAAGGAGACGGGAGAGAGGAGCUGAGUUGCUGCCUUUCCAGGGCCCAGGACAAGACCCACUCAGGCAUCCUGAGGACCCUUCCCCAGAAGGAAGGCACAGCCCAUCCGGCUGCCAGUCUCCGAAAUCCUGCUCUGACACCCACCCACCCCACCCUUCCUCCUCCUCAUUCUCCUCCUCUUCCCCACCCCCCCAUCCACUCGCCAGCUGCAGCCUGGGCAAGGCACCAAGACAAACGCCAAACACGCUGUCUGCUCUGCCUGGGCCAGCCCUCCAGGGGGUGGAGUAGGGUGGUUCUUAAAGGGCCCAGUACAGUACCCUCUCCCACCCAGCAGGGGUUCCCCAAUGAUGAGAAGGGUGGAGGGUUGAUGCCAGUGUGGUUGGAGAAGCCUGUUUCACAGGAGGAAGGGACCCCAGUCCCCCUCCCCACAGCAGG